AGAGCGAACGCUGGCGGCAGGCCUAACACAUGCAAGUCGAGCGCCCCGCAAGGGGAGCGGCAGACGGGAGAGUAACACGUGGGAACGUACCCUUUGGUUCGGAACAACACAGGGAAACUUGUGCUAAUACCGGAUAAGCCCUUACGGGGAAAGAUUUAUUGCCAAAGGAUCGGCCCGCGUCUGAUUAGCUUGUUGGUGGGGUAACGGCUCACCAAGGCUACGAUCAGUAGCUGGUCUGAGAGGAUGAUCAGCCUCACUGGGACUGAGACACGGCCCAGACUCCUACGGGAGGCAGCAGUGGGGAAUAUUGGACAAUGGGCGCAAGCCUGAUCCAGCCAUGCCGCGUGGAUGAUGAAGGCCCUAGGGUUGUAAAGUCCUUUCGACGGGGAAGAUAAUGACGGUACCCGUAGAAGAAGCCCCGGCUAACUUCGUGCCAACAGCCGC
rnacentral:rRNA from 1 species